AGGGGCCAGGCCAAAUGCUCAGU
rnacentral:miRNA from 1 species